GUACUAUAAUAGAUGGGAGAUUUGCAUUAGUUGUAUUUAUAGUACCAAGUCUUUAUAAUUAUUCACCGAUUUUCAUGGCAUUUUCAUGUAAAUAAAUGCAUCUCAUAGUUAAUAUGAUCUUAAAAGGGAUAAAAAUUUACUAGGGUUGAGAUAUAAAUGCAUUAAAUAUCACUAUUUUUCCCUAAUAGAAAGGCACUACGUGUUAUUCUUCUGGCGUAAAGUUCUCGUGUUUAUUAAGUGUUGCAUUAAGUCAUUGCCUUUCCCAAAGCUUGUCAGCGCGUCAUUAUUGUAAGUAUGUAGGUUAUAAAUGGCAUUUGUGCUGUGCUUUGAGAAGUAAUUGUAAUUAUAUAUAGAGACUGGGUUGUGUUAAAGUGAGCACGUGUUUUCAGUUCUGAAGGUUUGGCGUUGUAUUUGUUACCCAGCUCAGCGUUUGUGUAGGAAUUAGGUUGAAAUUGAGGAUAUUGAUAUGUUACAUGAAACGCUCAUAAUUAUUUGAGAUCCUGAUUGGGGUCUGUGGACGCCGGUUGUUGUCUAUGGGAACCGGUUGGGGUCGGUGCAACUAUAGAUUUAAUCGCAAAAUUUACGAAUAAGGCACCUUACUACAAUAAUGUACAUACUGUGCUCGGUAAAUUUUUAGUUUCAACCAGUAUUCUCAUCCUCUUUAUAUUUUCCACUAAAACCAAAAAGUAUAGGGGCCUAGUGGGAAUGCGAGUUAUUCUUGGCUGGGGAAAGUCAAAAUGAGGCAUUUUUAACGUCUAGGGGAAAAAAAUCUGAGGAUGACAAACGGCAUAUUUCGAAAAUGGGAAAUUUGUACGCUAUCCUAACCAAGCGUAACCAACCUAAUCUAACCAGAAGUGGGGUUCGUCCCCCCUUUGGAGACCCUCUCCCACCUUUAGGUCACUAAUCUAACUAAACAUUACCUAACCUAACCUCCUAACACCCCUUGAGGUAAACUAACGUAACGGAACAUUUUGUAACCUGCGUUGUCAAUCAUCACUACAUACCAACAGUAAUUACUUAACGAAAAAUACCUUAAGAAGAAGUUGAGGGAAUUGGCAGUAAACUGCCAGUUUGUAUAUUCACAGCCAGUACACGUCUCUCUACUAUAGCCAUGAUCUAACUGACGCAACACAGACAGACCUGGGUGCUCCCUCCUCCUCUAAAUACGUGCCUAUAUGUGAUUGGCUGACAAAUUUCAAUGUGACCUGAUUUGUAGCAGGUAACCCCACGUUAUCAUAGGUCUUAAUAUGUGACUCAACGUCACAUUGCCAUCCUGCAAACAUAUGAACACACUUAGUAUCCUACAAGAGACAAGUGGAAUUGACUUAAACCUUCAAAAUUCUCAUCCAAAGUUAGUUUCUGAGAGGGUAAAAUAGGACUAGAAAUGCUCCAAACAAUGAGAUAUAGACCCUGCAAAGGUUUAUAGUUAUGUACAGUGUAUUGAUUGAAACUGCAAUAAUACCCUGUGCUCUUAAUCUCAAAAUUUACAAACAAGAUACUUUACCAAUAUAUUCUGAAUCAUGCACCUUACUAAUGAGAUGCUCUCAUGCCUGCAGGUAAGUACCAUUUACAGCUCAUCAUGGGACAGUGAGGGACAGUGCUCAAGCAACCUAUCAGAAAAGUUAAGGAAAAAAUUGUUGUCUCGGGCAUUAGGCAACAGGACACUAGGCUAAUAACCCACCUUCAUUUUCAGGUACAUGCUUGUUUUAACCUUCCUUCCCUUUCAGGUACACUAAUGUAUUCCUUAGCUUACUCCACAGUAGUGCCAUUACCUGUGCAGCAGUGAGAAAUGGGAGGGAGUGGAAAGAUGCAAGUAGAGUCAUAAGACUAACAGAAUUACAUGGCAUUGCCCAGUGUUGUGUUGGUUGGUCAUGAGAAGAUUAUGAAAAAAUGGUGGCUUACUGUUGAAAUAAUGAAGUAACCAAAGAACAAAUUCAAGUGGAAAGUUGUAGACAGAAGCCAGAGAUGCCAGAGAUGCCAUGUCUCUGUACCAGGAAUGUGGUCAUUGUUCACGGUGACUGUGUGCAGCUGGAGUGCUUCAUGAUGGUGCUGGUGACAUCAGUGCUGGUGUUGUUCCCUGGGUGAGAAUGUGAAUUCUUUUAUCCAGUGACCACAAGUCUCUCACUUGAUCCAUGGUAUUCAUCAUAUCAGGGCUGCAUGUGGUACAAGAAAUUUCAGAGUGUAUCUAGAGAUGAUGGUGCUUACUGUCGUUCAUAAGGUUGAAGAGAUACAUGGGGAGUACAAUGAAGUGCACAGCAAGCCAUGAGUCAACUAACACCUUUUUCCUGUCAUACAAAGUUCCCAAGAUCUGAGAUUAAUGUUGUGUGCUGGCUCUGGCAUUCCUAACCUUCCUUGUGGCUUGAUGGAUGAGCUCAGUAUUCAUCUGAGGAUCACAUCAGUUACUAUAUAGCCUCCCAUUCCCUCCUUUCCUCAGUAAGGGUGAAGCUUGUUGUUGCAUUACCAAAAUGUUGGUGGAUGAAGUAGCCACCCACCAUUCAAAAUUGUCAGUAAACAGCUCUCAACUCCAUCCUCUGUAAAAGCUACAUGCUUUUCCCCAGCUCCAAAUAGUGAGUGCUCAUAACUCCAUAAUAAUAGAGUGAUCACAUGAUGAUAACACACCUCAGUACCUCAGGGCCACAUGAGACUACAAGGAUAAAGUUUUGUUCCUGAAUAUGCCUCCCUGUAGGUCUUUUCCCCCCUUUGUGGAAUAUGUUGUGGUAGCUUCAGAUACAGUUGUUAUUGAUGUUCUCACCAUGUAGUAGUCUUCUUGCUCUCUGGUUCAGUAAGAAUUAGCGGGGAUGUGGAAACACCAAGUCACUAGAGUUUCUGUGUAUUUACAAAGUUUACACAGAGGCAAGGCUGUCUCCUGGACAAACCACACACCUGAGCGCUGCUAAUGCCCUUCUGCCAGCACUCACUGACACUGACACCACGGGUGGCAAAGGUUGACAUAUUAAAUAACAAAUUUAUUAUUUUAAAAGAAAGGUUACAAUUAAAGUAAUGGUAAUACUACAUAGAUAAUGAAGAAAAUAUGUACAAUCUCUCAUAUUCAUAUAUCCCUAAAGGUUACAAUUAAAGUAAUGGUAAUACUACUUAAUGAAGAAAAUA